UCUUAGUUAGCAAUAAUAGCUAAACUAGGGCUACAUGCUUAUUAAUAGCGCUUUCUAAAGAAAGCCAUAAAAUUCAAUCAUGACAUUAAGUACUCUAGUUAGGAAAUAUGAAAUGAUGGUGUUUAUUUUUAAUUAAUGAGCUACAUAUC
rnacentral:ncRNA from 1 species